rnacentral:rRNA from 1 species
GACGAACGCUGGCGGCGUGCUUAACACAUGCAAGUCGAACGAAGAGCGAUGGAAGCUUGCUUCUAUCAAUCUUAGUGGCGAACGGGUGAGUAACGCGUAAUCAACCUGCCCUUCAGAGGGGGACAACAGUUGGAAACGACUGCUAAUACCGCAUACGAUCUGACCUCGGCAUCGAGGAUGGAUGAAAGGUGGCCUCUAUUUAUAAGCUAUCACUGAAGGAGGGGAUUGCGUCUGAUUAGCUAGUUGGAGGGGUAACGGCCCACCAAGGCGAUGAUCAGUAGCCGGUCUGAGAGGAUGAACGGCCACAUUGGGACUGAGACACGGCCCAGACUCCUACGGGAGGCAGCAGUGGGGAAUCUUCCGCGAUGGACGAAAGUCUGACGGAGCAACGCCGCGUGAGUGAUGACGGCCUUCGGGUUGUAAAGCUCUGUUAAUCGGGACGAAAGGCCUUCUUGCGAAUAGUUAGAAGGAUGACGG